rnacentral:misc_RNA from 1 species
AAGGUGCCAACUUGGGACACCCUUGUUAUGAGGGCUGUACCUGAUGCAGCACGAGUUGCUGCUUAUAGGUUUGGCAUGUCUAUUCGUUUGAUCAGGAACAUAUGCUUGUUCCAUGAAAUUUUUGCCAUGCCUGUCCUGGAAGAGCUGGUUCUUGAUCAACUCUUAAGUGGAAAGAUUGUACCUCAUCUUCGAAGCAUUCAGUCAAACAUUCAUGAUGCUGUAACAAGAACUGAAAGAGUUGUCACUUCACUACACGGUGUCUGGGCUGGCCCCAAAGCCACAGGAGACUGCAGUCCAAAGCUACGACCGUUGGUGGAUUACUUGCUCUCACUUGCCAGGGUGCUCGAAAAGAAGCACUCAUCAAGCAGCGGAGAGAUAGAGACAUCUAAAUUUGCUCGUCGGUUGAAGAAGAUGCUCGUAGAAUUGAAUCAAUAUGAUUAUGCCAGGGACAUAUCAAGAACCUUCAACAUCAAGGAGGCCUUGUGAUCUAUCUACUUGGUCCCCAUUGUCUUAAAAAACUCAUGGGAUGUUCUCAGUUUUAGCAGUCUUCUACAAUUUUGAAUUUCAUGUCAUUAGUUUUUCUUUUAGUGUAGUUACAAAAAUAACAAAUUUUGAUGAUACAAAUGAAGCUUAAACGAAGAACCGAAGGAUUUCAUAUAGUCGACCCUAAUUUGUUUGGGCACAAAGUGUAGUUUGUUGUAUUGUAGUCCCAGAUUACCCUACGUCUACACAAGGGAUUGUGCUUUUCUUUUAU